rnacentral:rRNA from 1 species
UACGGAGGGGGCUAGCGUUGUUCGGAAUUACUGGGCGUAAAGCGCACGUAGGCGGUUAGUUAAGUUAGAGGUGAAAGCCCAGGGCUCAACCCUGGAACUGCCUUUAAUACUGGCUGUCUAGAGAUCGAGAGAGGUGAGUGGAAUUCCGAGUGUAGAGGUGAAAUUCGUAGAUAUUCGGAGGAACACCAGUGGCGAAGGCGGCUCACUGGCUCGAUACUGACGCUGAGGUGCGAAAGCGUGGGGAGCAAACAGG